UACGUAGGGGGCGAGCGUUGUCCGGAUUUAUUGGGCGUAAAGCGUGCGUAGGCGGCUGCGCAAGUCGGUUGUGAAACCCCGGGGCUCAACCCCGGAACUGCAUCCGAUACUGCGUGGCUAGAGGUAGGUAGGGGAGAUCGGAAUUCCUGGUGUAGCGGUGAAAUGCGCAGAUAUCAGGAGGAACACCGGUGGCGAAGGCGGAUCUCUGGGCCUUACCUGACGCUCAGGCACGAAAGCUAGGGGAGCGAACAGG
rnacentral:rRNA from 1 species